rnacentral:rRNA from 1 species
AAUAGAUACCCCGGUAGUCCACGCCGUAAACGAUGAGUGCUAAGUGUUAGAGGGUUUCCGCCCUUUAGUGCUGCAGCUAACGCAUUAAGCACUCCGCCUGGGGAGUACGACCGCAAGGCUGAAACUCAAAGGAAUUGACGGGGGCCCGCACAAGCGGUGGAGCAUGUGGUUUAAUUCGAAGCAACGCGAAGAACCUUACCAGGUCUUGACAUCCUCUGCCAACCCUAGAGAUAGGGCGUUCCCCUUCGGGGGACAGAGUGACAGGUGGUGCAUGGUUGUCGUCAGCUCGUGUCGUGAGAUGUUGGGUUAAGUCCCGCAACGAGCGCAACCCUUGAUCUUAGUUGCCAGCAUUCAGUUGGGCACUCUAAGGUGACUGCCGGUGGCAAACCGGAGGAAGGUGGGGAUGACGUCAAAUCAUCAUGCCCCUUAUGACCUGGGCUACACACGUGCUACAAUGGAUGGUACAAAGAGCUGCGAACCCGCGAGGGUAAGCGAAUCUCAUAAAGCCAUUCUCAGUUCGGAUUGUAGG